AGCUGGAAAGAAAAUAUGCAAGCAUUAGAUCAAACUGUCCGGCUUUGAAAUUUUUCAAAUAUUCGUAUGUCGGGGGUAUCGAGACCGCGGUACAUUUUCAUACACAUUCAAUACAUUUCAUAUACAUUAAAUAUACAUUCAAGCAUUGAAUUCUACGCUUGAAAUAAGAUAGAGAAGUGAAAUCACCUUGGUAUGCAAACACUAUGGUAAAACCCAUAAUGCCUUAACACGUGAAUCAACUCUGGCGCUGUUCUAGUAAAUCCAAUAAUAGAGAACGUCGCAAGCAGUGUGUUCCAUAGUGCGAGUAUGCCUCUCAGUUCGAACUUUGGUCUAUUCGACAUGUAAUGCUGUCCUCCAAAAAUUAGGAUCAUAUAAAUG